CCACUUCACAUUCAGGAUUGCCGCGCUAUAUCGGCCAUGUCGGGCAACCGACUAUGGCGAUAAAUUGCGCUGUGCAAUAGAUGCAACGGACCCGGGGGCAGUACCCGGCGGCUCCACCAGAAGCGGCGGUUCCCUUGCGGGCAGGCCGCAACUCCUGAUGGGGCCGAACCAGGAUCGACGUGUGUUGAAAAGCAGUGUUUUCGCCCGGGCUGAGUAACCCGUUAAAGGCUCAAAACCCACAAGUGCCAACGACAACGAAGCACUUGCUCUCGCCGCGUAAUGUGACGGCCUAACGGCCUGAAUUUACAACGCCAAGAGCACGGUUCGGACCGAACCGGGUAACAGAAUCGGAAACC
rnacentral:tmRNA from 1 species